rnacentral:rRNA from 1 species
UGGGGAAUAUUGGACAAUGGGGGAAACCCUGAUCCAGCCAUGCCGCGUGUGUGAUGAAGGCCUUCGGGUUGUAAAGCACUUUCGCACGUGACGAUGAUGACGGUAACGUGAGAAGAAGCCCCGGCUAACUUCGUGCCAGCAGCCGCGGUAAUACGAAGGGGGCAAGCGUUGUUCGGAAUUACUGGGCGUAAAGGGCGCGUAGGCGGUGCUCUAAGUCAGGCGUGAAAGCCCUGGGCUCAACCCGGGAAUUGCGCUUGAUACUGGAGCGCUUGAAUCCAGGAGAGGUUGGUGGAAUUCCCAGUGUAGAGGUGAAAUUCGUAGAGAUUGGGAAGAACACCGGUGGCGAAGGCGGCCAACUGGACUGGUAUUGACGCUGAGGCGCGAAAGCGUGGGGAGCAAACA